CUUGCACUUGCUCCACACAUUUGUUCUUGUCAGUCACAGGCAAGAUGGAAAACGCUCUGCUGAUGACUCUUACGGUGCUCCUGCUCCUUGGAGUUCAAGGAAUCUCAGCUCAGUCCUCGAUCAACAACAUCUCAACCCCCUCAACCCCACGACCCACUAGUGCUACAACCUCCACUACCCUAUGGGCCACAUGUCCGAAAAUCAUAGAAUAUAUUACUAAGUCUGAUCUGUUCCGGCUGAAGGUUAUAUGGAAGGUCAGUCCAUGUGAAGGUCAGCUGUAUGUGUAUUCUCAUGAGCGUCAAGGGCCUUUGUGCUCUAGCAGCGACAUCUCAGUCAGCUGGUGGACUGAAGUGUGUAAGGACAGAAGAUGUGGAGACUUCAAGGGCUUUAAGCACACUUCAAGCCAAGCUAAAUGUCUCAAGCUCACAACAAAUAUGACAUUCAUCAAUACUACUAAGUGCAACGGCCUGCACAUCAUGUGCCAAGGUGUGUGAACAGUUUAUAUAUGACUCGGUAUGCUGAAAUGUUUCUCUUGAUGUUUUUGUUUCUUAUCAGGUUCCGUGACUCUGUUUAGUAUGCUGUACAUUUUGAAUAACACAUUAUAUUCUUUUCCCCCCACAUUUUUUUUUCAGAUCCUCUAGGAACAGAGUUGGCUGCUUAUAAAGCAGUAACUGGCAUAUUAAUUUUCUUGAUCUUGGGUGUCAUUCUGGUUCAGUUCAGUCGGCCCACGUACAAAGCCAUCCGCAAAAGAUGUGAGUCAG
rnacentral:lncRNA from 1 species